rnacentral:sRNA from 1 species
GAGUCCCCUCCACCUCAGUUGUUGCUCCAUCAUCAGUCACCCUACCAAUGUCUCCAUUAACAUCACUUCCACCACAAAUUCACAAUCUUCCAGUGCUUAUUGUGAUGAAUAAUGGUAAAAUCAUUAGCGAUAUAUUUUGGAAAAAAACCCCACUAAUCUCAAAAUAAUUUAGAUGGUCACUUGUCAACACACCGAAUAACGUUACACGAGGGAGUAACAGAGGUUGGAAGUGACAGUCAAAUGUCCAAUUUCUCACAGCAUAAUAUUUAUGUGAGUUUAUUUAUUUUAAAUUUUGACAAAAAACAAUUUUUGCGGAAAUUCGCUUUUUAGAACUAAGUUUUGAAAAAUUGGUUAUUUGAAAGUUUUUUAAUUUUUAAAACUUGAGAAAAGUUGGUUUAAAAGUAUAAUUUAUUGAAAAUAGAGAAAAAGUGAUUUUUAAAGUUUCUGUAACUCAAAAAAUUAAAUAUUCGAAUUUUUAACGAAAUUUAACAAAAAAUUCAGGUAGCACCAAUAAGGAAUUUAAAAAAAAUCAUUUUCGGAUAUUAUGGAUUAUCUAAUCCAAAUUUGAGAAAAUUAAAAUUAAAUUAUAUUAUUCCGAAUAGAAUUAAUUUUUUAAUCACAAAUUGCAAAAUAUGCAUAUUUAAUACAAAAUCGAAAAAUCGAUAUUGAAAAUAUCGUAGUUUCAAAAUAAAUAUAAUUUUUGAAAAAAAAAGUUCCACAGAUCCAUUUUUGAGUUUCUAUAGUUCCAAAAAUCUGAAAUUUCUGAGAAAAUUCCAAGAAUUUUGGAAAUUUUCUUAAUUUCCAUAAAUUUCUAAAAAAAUCCAUAAUUUCCGAAAAUUCAAAAAAUGUAGAAAUUUCACACAAAAAAUCUAACAGUUUCAGAAAUUUGAACUUUCCGAAAAUAUCGAGAAAGUUCCUAAGUUUUUUGGAAUUUAUGAAAAAAAAACACUUUUUUUUCCAAUAAUUUCCAAAAAACUGAAAGUUUCUGAGAAAAUUUUUUAAAAAAAUUAGAAUUUUCAAAAAAUCUAGUAAUUUCCUCAAUUUUCGCUAGAAAUUUCUGAGUUUUCAUAAAUUCUACAAAUGUUUCAAAAUUACCAAAAAAACAAUUUUUUAUUGCUAUUUUCUCGAAUUUUCAGCUCGAUGGUCCGGAUAUUCGUGGACGCCACGCGGCAAUCGCUUUCAUGGAAGGCGUCGUCACACUAACACCAUCCACUCGUGAUGCCUACCUAGAG